GGAUGCACGGGAGCAACAGGAGGUUGAUGCGGGGGGGUUCGGGUACGGGCAGUUGGAGGAACCGUUUUCGACAUCAGCCUCGCAACCCAGGUGUCGUAGCUCCGUGGAACAGACACGGUAUGGCCGGGCUGACUCUGUUUUAUGUUGACAGGGUCAAAGCCGGUGAGCGGAAUGUACCCAGGGCCAACCCGGCCGCACACGGGUGGCCUAAAAGGGCGUUGGAUGCACGGGAGCAACAGGAGGUUGAUGCGGGGGGGUUCGGGUACGGGCAGUUGGAGGAACCGUUUUCGACAUCAGCCUCGCAACCCAGGUGUCGUAGCUCCGUGGAACAGACACGGUAUGGCCGGGCUGAUAGCAGACCACAACCAGUGCAACAAGGUCACACACCAGGUGUUAGCAUGGUCAGCGCAGCGUCCCGUGCUCCAACGGUUCCAAGCCCUCAAGGGGAUACCACGGGCAGCGGUGGCGCUACAGGGGACCACCCGGUGCACCAUGACCUCAUUCCGGAUGCAAACAAGGGGUUUGGCUGUGAACUAGAUUCCAUGAUUGCUGACCUCCGUAAAGUAGCCUCACGCGUUGCAGAUAAGGGGGUGCAAGUCAGGGAGCCCAGUCCGGAAGGGUUUGAGCCACCGAGUUUUAGCCUAGGGAUGACACAAGAGCUGGCAUCACAGAGGGUAGAGGAUAUGCCGGCUGGCUCGUUGAAUGUGGUGCAAGUAAGGGAGACGCGUCCAGGGAUGGAGGGGUUGACAGCUGGCCAGUCAAAUGCGACCAUACAACUUAUGCAGGGACAGCAGACGGGGGGGACCAUUACGCCGCAGCGGGGGUUGCGCACGUUGGCAUCAUUGAGGUUUGAGCGCAGGACGCCUGGCCCGUCAGAUGCUACCACGCUGACUCCCCAGGUACACCGCCCUGCACAGCAGGGGGGGUUCAUCCUGGAAUCACCACCGCCGUGUGUGCCACUGGGCAAGAGGCCUGGAGCACUCCACAAAGGCAAGAGCCCACUUGGGAAUGACAGCGAACCGUUUUGUAUGGUUUUCAACGCCGCAAACGGGUACCCCUCGGCUCCCCUCCCACCCAUUUAUGUCGUCUGGAAGUGGCUUUUUGACUCACCGCACGGCGACCGCAAUGAAGUGCUGUUCCAUCAUGCGGCCCGAAAAGCGAGAUGGGCGGACUUCACCACACUCAAGGAGGGGUCAAACAUCUCUAAAGUGAUGGUCGAUGCCUAGUGCUUUGUACUCAAUACGAGGGAAAACUAUAGGAAGCCCGGGGUAUCUUCACGCAUGUUUUUAACUCCAGCCACUACGAUUGGGACGGUGGUCGCUGCUACUUGCAGCCGGAAUGAUAGACUAGCGUGGUUCACACGAAGACUUGAUAUAGAGGUGCAAGCUACCGACCAUGUGGGGAUCGCCACGCUCGACAUGUAUAUCUUCCCGAUUAUGCAUAACAGCCGGUUCUUCAUGAUCAGCAUCAGCUUCAAGCAUGGGACCUUUGACAUUAUUGACAGCGCUCCAGCUGUCAGCGAUAGCAUAGAGAUAUACGGACGCAUCCCGGGGGAAUUGAGGGACCUCCUAGCUGCAUAUCUUGAGAGAAAACAACAGCCGGUGCGUGCACUACGUCUGAGGGAUAUGCAACCUAAAAGGAUGAUGGUGGCAUGGGGAGAACCCACUGCCGGUGUAGAGUCAGCGGUAUAUACGAUGAGGCACAUGGAGUCAUAUGUUGGUCAGAAAUCCACCACCUGGUAUUGUGGGUUACAAGCAGGGGGCACGCCGCUGAUGCUCAACCUUCGCAAGCGUUUCCUACACAACAUCAUCCUCAGCGCCGCAAAUGUCCACGUGCAAAAUAUUAUCGCACGUGUGGGGGAGUACGACCGCGUGAGGGUUGCACAGAUGCUUCAAUCAACGACGCGCCAACUGGCCUAACAACUGCCUAGGGGGCAGCUCUGAAAAGCAAUAGUUAAUAAACUGGGACCUUUAUUUUGGGUACAGGGAUGUUUCAGGUUGGGGCUAGUUCAUUGUGACCGAUUGCAGUAGUCGGUUAACUUAUCCUUUUCGCAAACAUAAUAUGUGUAGAUGUGUAGUCUUGCUGUGCUAAAUAGGGGUGCACCUCUUUUUAGCAUAUAAUAAACAGUGCAACACUGGGCUCUUUUUGUUGGUGGUGCAGCCCGUUGUUUCGGGUGGCGGUGCGAUGCAGUUUGCUGUUACUAAAUCUAUCCUCUACAGGCGGGACAUAUACUCUCUUUGGUGUUUCCUGCUAUGUUAAACGAAUAUGAGAUGAAUACUUAACAUUA